AUGGCGGCACAACCCUUUUUCAUAACAAUCUCAGAUGAAUUACUGAUAAAAAUUUCAGAUGCAGAGUCACCAUUACUUACACCAAUUCUCGCUUGCAAAAAGGACAUGUUGGUUUCCGAUUUCGUUCGACUUUGCUUUAAAUAUGAAGGUUCUGCAGUUCAGUGCAGUAAUCAAAUUGGUGUAAGUAAUGGUGACUCUGCAUCUGUACCGUAUUUGAAGGAUUGGCAUUUUGUGAAGCAGGGUCAUUCAUCUCAAGAGCUAUGA